UUUAAAGUUGCUGAAAAGUGAAGUUCUUUAUUUAUCCACAGAUCAUGCACAUGCAAUGCCAUCUUCCCUACACUGUCGGCUAACAUUUCUCAGACAUCCACUGGAGAGAUUAUCAUUUCUGUAUGAGUGAGAGGGUAGUUCAGUCUUCAUACUCAUUCAACCCUUGCCAGAG
rnacentral:sRNA from 1 species